GCGAAAGUAGCUCAGUUGGUAGAGCAUCACCUUGCCAAGGUGGAGGUCGCGGGUUCAAAUCCCGUCUUUCGCUCAA
rnacentral:tRNA from 1 species